CGCCACACAGAUUGCCGGUUCAUGCCAUUCCUCUGCUUCGUCUCUUCCUUCACGUCGAACCUCCACCACCGCCACACAGAUCGCCGGAGCAGAACGAUUUUGAAGAAGAAGAGUUCGCCGGAGCUUGGAAACAAACCUGAGCCGCCGUGAGCCACAAUCCAAAGGACUCUUUGCCAAGUGUGACAUAUCCUUCUACAUCAUCAUCUACUAUGCAUAUAUAUCAUAACCAGUCAUCAUUUACGGAUCCAUUACAACAAUUCCAAGAAAGUUGAUGUACAAACAAGUUUUGUGUCCAAGAGAAUGGAUUGGGAAGCAAAUAUUUUUUGGUUAUAUAAUGUGUAAAUUGUGGUGGAUAGACAUAGAACCAUCUUCUUUUUUUGUAUUUCCAACGUAGGGUCAUCUUUUUUUGUACAUUGAAC